CCACUUCAUCAGAGAACUCGGGGAGAUGUCUGGCGUGGAGAACAUGCUCGUUUCAUGCUGGUUGCAGUGCACUGCUCAGGAAGUCCCUGGAGGUCAAGGAGAACGUUUUCCUGAUGCUCAUGUUGUGGGUCAAUGUGGGUCAUUUCCUUUGGGACUGAGUCACCCCUGGGUCCAAAUGUGCUGAAGCCAGAGGCACCUCUGGGUCCCACAGGUCUGUGGUCCAGUACAUCCUUUGCUUCAUUUGAGCCAGCUUGCCCCGGAAGGAGUCCUGGCUAAUACAGCUCAGCCAGGACCGCACCCUUCAGUGAAGCUCCCCUCAAGGACCCCCCCAGGCAAAAUCAACCAUCAGUCCAGCUCACCUCCUGGGGGCCAGACACUAAUCAAAGAAGUAGAAAUGAAGGAUAAGUAAUUAACAGAUGACCAGAUCUCUUCCCCAGCUUCCCCUGCAGUAAUCCCACGAGGAAACUGUGUGAACAAGAUAGCGUCUAAAGAAAACUCACAAGAAGUCGACAAGCCUGCACAUGGUGCGGGUUGGAGACGACUCUGACCCCCUAUCUCAAUGAUUAACUGAGAUUACUUCCCUGUUUCCCCUUAAAAACUUUUAUGGCCGAGCAGAAUCUUUGGAGGUGGUUUUGGGGGGACACUGAGUCCCCCAUCUCCCCAGAUUGCCGGCAUUCUGAUUAAAAGCAACUUUUCCU